UACGCAGGGGGCUAGCGUUGUUCGGAUUUACUGGGCGUAAAGCGCACGUAGGCGGAUCGUUAAGUCAGGGGUGAAAUCCUGGAGCUCAACUCCAGAACUGCCUUUGAUACUGGCGAUCUUGAGUCCGGAAGAGGUGAGUGGAACUCCUAGUGUAGAGGUGGAAUUCGUAGAUAUUAGGAAGAACACCAGUGGCGAAGGCGGCUCACUGGUCCGGUACUGACGCUGAGGUGCGAAAGCGUGGGGAGCAAACAGG
rnacentral:rRNA from 1 species